AACUGUGACUAAACCAUGACGAGUUAGAAGCAUGUGUAAUAUAUGCAUGAAAUCUGCAGCACCCUUCCUUAAAAUUAAUGCAGAUCAAGAGACCCUGAUUGUUUUGGACCACAGAGCAAGAAGCAAGGCCUACAGGCAAGUCCCCUGCCAGCAUUCUUCUCUGGAGAGCAUCAACAGGAAAAGAUCAAGGUGAUCUGAACUGAAGUUCCUGGGGUCAUUCACAUGAACAAAGACUGCUGAGUGCAAUUACUGGCCUGUGCACACUUACCUCCCAUGUACAAAAUCACAGGAAAUGAGGUAAUCCCGAGGAAAGCCCAGGAGUUAUUAGCUCCAGACUCUUCAAACAUUAUUCUCUCUCCACCUGCUAGCAGAUGGUGUAAGUGAAGCCACAUGGAGAAUUACCCAUCAGGAGACAGACCUCCUUUGUCUGCUGUUUCAUCAACAGUUCCUACAGAAGUAAAUCUAGGGAGUAUACCAAGUCUUGCGCAAAUUUCUAGAAGAAUAACCCACCCGGGACCAUGAGACAAAAAGACACCGGCUCUGUCGCAGGAAAUCUUCAAUCUACAAAUUGCUGCAGGAGUGCAGCAGGGAAGCCAAAGUUGAUGCUUCUCGGGCUAGCAGUGCUGGUGACGAUUUUAACCAGGUGGUUUCACAGAAAGCCAGCCUCUUUCCUGUUAGCCCCCACCAAGACUCUUGAGGAAGUACAAAUGGAUCCCAGACCAUGCAGCAGGCGUGGAGGAGGAAGCAGCGGUGGCUGUAGCUGGUGCUGGCUGUCUCAAACAAGCAGUGCAGGAAAUGUCAGACCCUGCGCUGAAGCAGCACAUUUCCAAGUGACAAUCACACAUGCUGUCUGCCAGGAAAACACUUAUUCAGAGGACUUGGUUACAGUUUUCACAGAGAAAAUCUGUUCAGAUUGCUUCAAGACAGGUAACACCAGGACAGCCCUUUGCUGUUCCAGGAUGGAAUGUUUCCUAUCUCGUUUCUGGAAAGUCUUACACUGGAGGUAA
rnacentral:lncRNA from 1 species